AGCCUCUAGCAAAAAGUAUUAAAGGUCACGCCUGCCCAGUGAAAAUUUUAAACGGCCGCGGGAUCUUCCACCGUGCAAAGGUAGCAUAAUCACUUGUCCCCUAAAUAGUGACUAGUAUGAAUGGCCAAAUGAAGAUUUAACUGUCUCUUAUAUUUGAUCCUUGAAAUUAAUCUACCAGUACAAAAGCUGGAAUAAAAACAUAAGACGAAAAGACCCUAUGGAACUUCAAGUAAUAUUCUAAUGUAUAGAUUUAAAACUUUUAGUUGGGGCAACUCAGGAAAUAAAAAAAACUUCCAAUAAAAAAAUAGGAUAGACAUAUCUUACAUAGACCCAGUCCUUACUGACCAAAGAACCAAGCUACCCUAGGGAUAACAGCGCUAUCCCCUCCAAGAGCCCAAAUCGACGAGUGGGGUUUACGACCUCGAUGUUGGAUCAGGACCCCCAAACAGUGCAACAGCUGUUAAAGGUUUGUUUGUUCAACAAUUAAAGUCCUA
rnacentral:rRNA from 1 species